AGCAGUGUGGCUUAGUGGCAAGAGCCUGGGUUUAGGAGUCAGAGAUCUUGGGUUCGAAUCCCAGCUCUGCCG
rfam:Ornithorhynchus anatinus chromosome 2, whole genome shotgun sequence.